rnacentral:rRNA from 1 species
CAGUAGCCGCGGGAAUACGUAGGUGGCAAGCGUUGUCCGGAAUUAUUGGGCGUAAAGGGCUCGCAGGCGGUUUCUUAAGUCCGAUGUGAAAGCUCCCGGCUCAACCGGGGAGGGUCAUUGGAAACUGGGAAACUUGAGUGCAGAAGAGGAGAGUGGAAUUCCACGCGUAGCGGUGAAAUGCGUAGAGAUGUGGAGGAACACCAGUGGCGAAGGCGACUCUCUGGACUGUAACUGACGCUGAGGAGCGAAAGCGUGGGGAGCGAACAGGAUUAGAUACCCCCGUAGUCCCUGUCUCUUAUAC